GUAUCAUGGCUCAGGAUGAACGCUAGCUACAGGCUUAACACAUGCAAGUCGAGGGGCAGCAUGGUCUUAGCUUGCUAAGGCCGAUGGCGACCGGCGCACGGGUGAGUAACACGUAUCCAACCUGCCGUCUACUCUUGGACAGCCUUCUGAAAGGAAGAUUAAUACAAGAUGGCAUCAUGAGUCCGCAUGUUCACAUGAUUAAAGGUGUUCUGGUAGACGAUGGGG
rnacentral:rRNA from 1 species